UGUCGAAAUUGUCGUCGCAGAUCGUCUGAUUCAUGAGAAUGUGUUUCAUCCUCAUUCAAGGUAGAACUAACUGAUCCAGUUUUGGAAAAAGAUUUAUUAUAACUGUGGUUUUAAGCGUAUGAUACACGGAGAUACAGUGGAUGAAGUCAAGAAAAACAAAAUACAUUUGUGGUAUAGU